UACGAAGGGGGCUAGCGUUGCUCGGAAUGACUGGGCGUAAAGGGCGCGUAGGCGGAUGGCAAAGUCAGAUGUGAAAUUCCCGGGCUUAACCUGGGGGCUGCAUUUGAUACGUGUUGUCUUGAGUUCGGAAGAGGGUCGUGGAAUUCCCAGUGUAGAGGUGAAAUUCGUAGAUAUUGGGAAGAACACCGGUGGCGAAGGCGGCGACCUGGUCCGACACUGACGCUGAUGCACGAAAGCUAGGGGAGCAAACAGG
rnacentral:rRNA from 1 species